rnacentral:rRNA from 1 species
UACGGAGGGUGCAAGCGUUGUCCGGAUUUAUUGGGUUUAAGGGUGCGUAGGCGGCCAUAUAAGUCAGUGGUGAAAUCCAGCAGCUAAACUGUUGAACUGCCAUUGAUACUGUAGGGCUUGAGUACUGAUGAGGUAGGCGGAAUUGACGGUGUAGCGGUGAAAUGCAUAGAUAUCGUCAAGAACCCCGAUUGCGAAGGCAGGUUACUGGGCAGUAACUGACGCUGAGGCACAAAAGCGUGGGGAUCAAACAGG